rnacentral:lncRNA from 1 species
GCCACCUGGGAGGCUGAGAUGAGAGGAGUGCUUAUGCCCUGGAGGUCAACGCUGCAGUGAGCUGUGAUUGCACCACUGCACUCCACCUGACAGAGUGACACCCCCCCAUCUCUAAAAAAUAAAAAAAAAAAAGUGGGAAGAACAAUCACACCACGGUUUAACUGAUCAGCUACGAUGGGAACUGUGAAAGGCAUUCCACAGAGUGAAUCAAGGCUUCAGGAGGAGGCCCUGACUUAUCCUGGAGGCAGAGGGUUCUCCCAGGAAUGGCGUCUUAGCUGAAGCCUGACCCAGAAGGUAGACGGGCAGGAACGAGGUAAUGUGGAGACUGUUGGGAGCAGGCAAGGACUUCAUCCCAAGGCAAUGGGAGGCCCUCUGUACUCCCUCUUGUGAUAACUGCUUCCCUUCUUUCGGGCAGUGCUCCUGACCCCACUCUAGCUGUGUGGGUGGGUCCCUACCUGGUUGAGUCAACCAGAUCCCAUCCCUGGGAUUUUAAACUUGGAACCAGAAGGAGAGUGAUCAUCACCUCUUUUCUAGGGUGAAUCAAUGAGAAGUGAGGCUCCGAAGCUUGGAUCUCAAGUUCACAGAAGCAGCUGGUUGAGGGUGAAGCUUGCACACAGAGGCCAAGGAAGGAUGCCUACCCAUGUCCAGCUGCCCCAGGGCCCUUUCAGGACUGCUAUUUUGAGCCCCUUCCUUCCUUAACUGGUUUGAAUUGGUCACCGUCACUUGCAACCUAUUGAGUCCUAGCUAAUGUACCAUGACAGGGUUCAAGACUUGGUCAGAGAAGAGCUGGGGUAUAGGAUGCUGGGGAAGGGUACCCAUUAAUCCUCCCUUCUAAGUGGUAACUGAGAGAAUGAACAAGAACAAUAUACAGUUAAAUGAAAAUAAAAAGGCACAGUGGCUCAAGCCUAUAAUCCCAGCACUUUGGGAGGCCGAGGCAGGCAGAUCACAAGGUCAGGAGUUCGAGACCAGCCUAACCAACAUGGUGAAACCCCAUCUCUACUAAAAUUACAAGAAUUAGCCAGGCGUGAUGGCGCGCCACCUGUAAUCCCAGCUGCUCAGGAGGCUGAGCAGGAGAAUCACUUGAACCCGGGAGGCGGAAGUUGCAGUGAGCUGAGAUCAUGCCACUGCACUCCAGCCUGGGCGACAGAGCAAGACUCCGUCUUAAAAAAAAAAAAAAAGAAAAUAAACACAGACGCUUUAAGGAUCAGUUAACAACAAGACACAGACUCUAAUAUUCACUGACAUAAAGUUUCAGAAAGGGCAAAAUUAAUCUCUGGUGACAGGGGCCAGAACAGUGAUGACCUGGGGUGGGGUGUGGGUUGGUCUCUCCUGUGAGGUUUGGAAGGGCAGGUACACACGCGUGUGCACUUACCAAAACCUACUGCACUGUGCAUCCGACUGCACUGAUGUCCCUGGCUUCUUUGAGGCAACUUGGGUGACAGGCCAUCCUGAGCCAGUCAUGUCUUGCCCUCCCACUCAGGGCAGAAUGGGAGGGAAGCUGGCCCCUCACAUGAAUACGGGGAAUUAGGAAGUGUUUUCUCCUCCACAAUGUUUGGGAGAAUUUGGGGAUUUAUGUCCAUUCUUUAGCAUUUGGUAGAAUUCACCAUCUGGUCCUGGGCUUUUCUUUUGUUGGGAAGCUUUUGAUGACUGGUUCUACCUAUGUGUUUUAGGUUGGUUCAGAUUUUUUCCUUUUUCUUCUUUUUUUGAGGUCAGGUCUCUGUCUCUGCCUCAUUCCUGGCUGGAGUGCAGUGGUGCUGUCAUAGGUCGUUGCAGCUUUGAACUCCUGGGCUCUAGCCAUCCUCCUAACUAGUUCUCCCCAAGUGCUGGGAUCACAGGUGUGAGCCACUGCACCUGGCCCUGUUCAGAUUUUCUAUUUUUCCUGGGACAAUUUUGGUCAUUUGUAUCUUUCUAGGAAUUUUUUUGUUGUUGUUUUGAGACAGAGUCUCACUCUGUCACCCAAGCUGGAGUGCAAUGGCAUGAUCUCAGCUCACUGCAACCUCUGCCUCCUGGGUUCAAGUGAUUUUCCUGCCUCAGCCUCGUGAAUAGCUGGGAUUACAGGUGUGAGCCACCACGCCUGGCUAAUUUUUGUGUUUUUAGUAGAGACAGGGUUUCACCACUUUGGCCAGGUUGGUCUCGAACUUCUGACCUCAGGUGAUCUGCCUGCCUCGGCCUCCCAAAGUGCCGCGAUUACAGGCGUGAGCCACCACACCCAGCCAAGAUGUCGCAUCUUUUUAAAUGUUGGCAUUUGCAGCUAUAAAUUUCCCUCAGAGCAGUUUUUGCCGCAUUCCUUAAGUUCUGGUAUGUUGUUUUCAUCCAUCUCUAUUUCCUAAUUUUUCUCGUGAUUUCUCCUUUGACCCUUUGGCUGUUAAAAAGUGUGUUCAAUUUCUAUGUAUGUGUGAAUUUUCAUUUUCCUUCUGGUAUGGAUUUCUGGUUUUAUUCCAUUGUGAUUGGAGAAGGUGGUUUGCAGGAUUCCGAUCUCUAAUUUACUGAGACUUGCUUUGUGCACUAACGUGUGGUCUGUCCUGGAGAACGUUCCCUGUGCACUUAGAAACGUGUGUUCUGCUGCUAUUGGGUGGAGCACUGUUAAGUCUGGUCAGCCUUUUGGUUUUUAUGUAAUACUUGGCACAUUCACAAGAAAAUGUGUGAAACAGAAAGUACGACAAAGUGAAACCCACGAAGCCACCACUGACCCUGAGGUUCAAAACCUCCAGCAUCUCUGCUCUUCCCUAAGCACAGCUCCGUCCCCUCCCCACGGGUGAGCACUGUGUUGUACUGACUCCCUGCCCUCCCUGAUGACUUUAGCACCUGGGUAUGAAUUCCACACAUAUUUGGUUUUGAGCUUUAUAAAAAUGGCAUCAUACUGUAUGAACUGUCUUGCUUUUUCAUCCCACGUUGUUUCUGAGAGGUGUUUGUGAUGGAGCACAGGGCCAC